AGUCUGCAACUCGACUGCGUGAAGGUGGAGUCGCUAGUAAUCGCGGAUCAGCAACGCCGCGGUGAAUGCGUUCCCGGGCCUUGUACACACCGCCCGUCAAGUCAUGAAAGUGGGCAGCACCCGAAGACGGUGGCCUAACCCUUGUGGGGGGAGCCGUCUAAGGUGAGGCUCGUGAUUGGGACUAAGUCGUAACAAGGUAAC
rnacentral:rRNA from 1 species